rnacentral:rRNA from 1 species
GACGAACGCUGGCGGCGUGCCUAAUACAUGCAAGUCGAGCGCAGGAAACUGACGGAACUCUUCGGAGGGAAGGCAGUGGAAUGAGCGGCGGACGGGUGAGUAACACGUAAGGAACCUGCCUCAAGGAUUGGGAUAACUCCGAGAAAUCGGAGCUAAUACCGGAUAGUUCAACGGACCGCAUGGUCCGCGGAUGAAAGGCGCUCCGCCGUCACCUUGAGAUGGCCUUGCGGUGCAUUAGCUAGUUGGUGGGGUCACGGCCCACCAAGGCGACGAUGCAUAGCCGACCGGAGAGGGUGAUCGGCCACACUGGGACGGAGACACGGCCCAGACUCCUACGGGAGGCAGCAGUAGGGAAUCUUCCACAAUGGACGAAAGUCUGAUGGAGCAACGCCGCGUGAGUGAUGAAGGUUUUCGGAUCGUAAAACUCUGUUGUAAGGGAAGAACACGUACGAGAGGGAAUGCUCGUACCUUGACGGUACCUUACGAGAAAGCCACGGCUAACUACGUGCCAGCAGCCGCCGUAAGAC